UCCCUUUAGCUUUACCUUUUAUGGUGUCCCUUCAAGGCCCCAGCCCAUUUUGGUGACUAGCACGUUUGCCAUACAGUCAGGUAAUAGGACUGACAGUCAUGGUUCUUAUGGUUGUGGGCCUGAAAUCCCUUCAGCUCUCCACUCCCCAACAUGCAUUUGGCAUGCAGGCUGGGCCACGGUACUAGUUUGUAGUAAGAUUGUCCUGUGACUGGAUCCUCAGCUUAUGCUACACCAAACUCUGCUAGCAUUCUGGUCAAUAAAAGCUGUGGACAUUUUAAAUGCCACUGUAAGCAGUCUUUUCUUGCUUAACAUUCUCCAUGCUAUGCUGCAGGCACAACCAUUGCUUUUGUGACAAAAGCUAAAGUAUGUGUACAGAGUGAGGCCAGGUGGACAUCCAUUCAUAGCCAUCGGGUACAGAAAGAACUUGUUCUAACUCAGGGGCAGAAAGCUUGUGGCUAAACUACAGUUCCCUUAAUCCCUUACUAAAUUUGCUAAACUACAGUUUCCAUAAUCCCUGAUCAUUGGCCAUGCUGGUCAUUAUCUAAUAUUUCAGCAAAUGUGCCUGCAGGAGUUGUGAGAUGCAUGCAGAC